GACGAACGCUGGCGGCGUGCUUAACACAUGCAAGUCGAACGGAAAGGCCCUGCUUUUGUGGGGUGCUCGAGUGGCGAACGGGUGAGUAACACGUGAGUAACCUGCCCUUGACUUUGGGAUAACUUCAGGAAACUGGGGCUUAUACCGGAUAGGGGCUCCUGCUGCAUGGUGGGGGUUGGAAAGUUUCGGCGGUUGGGGAUGGACUCGCGGCUUAUCAGCUUGUUGGUGGGGUAGUGGCUUACCAAGGCUUUGACGGGUAGCCGGCCUGAGAGGGUGACCGGCCACAUUGGGACUGAGAUACGGCCCAGACUCCUACGGGAGGCAGCAGUGGGGAAUAUUGCACAAUGGGCGGAAGCCUGAUGCAGCAACGCCGCGUGCGGGAUGACGGCCUUCGGGUUGUAAACCGCUUUCGCCUGUGACGAAGCGUGAGUGACGGUAAUGGGUAAAGAAGCACCGGCUAACUACGUG
rnacentral:rRNA from 1 species